UGGGGAAUAUUGCACAAUGGGCGCAAGCCUGAUGCAGCCAUGCCGCGUGUAUGAAGAAGGCCUUCGGGUUGUAAAGUACUUUCAGCGGGGAGGAAGGCGGUGAGGUUAAUAACCUCAUCGAUUGACGUUACCGACAGAAGAAGCACCGGCUAACUCCGUGCCAGCAGCCGCGGUAAUACGGAGGGUGCAAGCGUUAAUCGGAAUUACUGGGCGUAAAGCGCACGCAGGCGGUUGAUUGAGUCAGAUGUGAAAUCCCCGGGCUUAACCCGGGAAUUGCAUCUGAUACUGGUCAGCUAGAGUCUUGUAGAGGGGGGUAGAAUUCCAUGUGUAGCGGUGAAAUGCGUAGAGAUGUGGAGGAAUACCGGUGGCGAAGGCGGCCCCCUGGACAAAGACUGACGCUCAGGUGCGAAAGCGUGGGGAGCAAACAGG
rnacentral:rRNA from 1 species